rnacentral:lncRNA from 1 species
GGCUGACUGGCUGGCUGAGUGGGUGAUAGAGGCGAGGCAGGUGUGGUGAGGCGGAGGAUUGGAGACGAGAACCUACAGAUGACGGCAGACACGGAAGAUUCCACUAACCAGGAGUUGGUGAUCCGAAGCCGUGACUGCAGCGAUCCCGUGCGUCCUGCACCAUCAAGGGAAGGACUCUCUGGCUUCGCACUGCGCCUACAUUGACCGUUGCCGCCGCCGCCGGAGGGGCACUGCCUCGCAUUGGGCCUUCACUGCCGUCCCGCUAAUACACGUGUCGCCGUCGCAGCUACUGGCACUGAGGGACUUCGCCUCGCAGCGGCCUGGCAAACACCUGCUACACCACCACCACUAACUCCACCACCGCAGUCCAGAGAUUCAGCUUCGCAUAGCAGACAUCCUCCUAUUCAACGCUUGCUGCCACUACCACCUCAUUAUGGUGGUGUCACUGUACUUGGAUCUGUUGUCACUACUGAAUAAUAAUGUGUAAAGAAA